GACGGGGGGGGCAAGUGUUCUUCGGAAUGACUGGGCGUAAAGGGCACGUAGGCGGUGAAUCGGGUUGAAAGUGAAAGUCGCCAAAAAGUGGCGGAAUGCUCUCGAAACCAAUUCACUUGAGUGAGACAGAGGAGAGUGGAAUUUCGUGUGUAGGGGUGAAAUCCGUAGAGAUCCGGAAGAACACCGGUGGCGAAGGCGGUCUGCUGGGCAGUUGCUGACACUGAUGCGCGACAGCGUGGGGAGCAAACAGG
rnacentral:rRNA from 1 species